UAUACAAUUGAUGACAUCGCGACACUCUCCGAUGAUGCCCUACAAAAGCGUAGCAAGCGGGGCAAAGAGCCGCUGAAAAGAAAAAUGGCCACGACCGGUGUCUCCAAAGCGGUAUCAAAGAAAUCUAACACAACGGUUUUUCAGCUGCCGGGUAGUAGCGCACGUGUCAUCAGAACUGUUUCAUUCCCCGAACCACCAGAGUCGGUCACCAACGCCCGCGACAGUUGGCUGUCUGAAAAUCCUGCAAUGCCGAUUAUCCGCUGUCCUGAUGCCCGUAAGUUAAUAUUACACGGCGCUCUGUUUUAAUUAGAGCCGCUUGAUGUUCUUAAUACUUACAGCGGGCUGCUUGUCUUUAAAUUUUUAAUAAAAGGCAUAAUGACAUAUCUAUCUAUC